rnacentral:rRNA from 1 species
CGGAAAUAAGUGAUAUAGAGCAAAACCCUAAAAACGGUACUCAGUUCGGAUUGAAGGCUGAAAUUCGCCUUCAUGAAGCUGGAAUUGCUAGUAAUGGCAGGUCAGCAUACUGCCGUGAAUACGUUCCCGGGCCUUGUACACACCGCCCGUCACACCAUGAGAGUUGGGAAUACCCGAAGCCUGUGAGCUAACUGUAAGGAGGCAGCAGUCGAAGGUAGAAUCAAUGAUUGGGGUGAAGUCGUAACAAGGUAUC